GACGAACGCUGGCGGCGUGCUUAACACAUGCAAGUCGAACGGAAAGGCCCUGCUUUUGUGGGGUGCUCGAGUGGCGAACGGGUGAGUAACACGUGAGUAACCUGCCCUUGACUUUGGGAUAACUUCAGGAAACUGGGGCUAAUACCGGAUAGGAGCUCCUGCUGCAUGGUGGGGGUUGGAAAGUUUCGGCGGUUGGGGAUGGACUCGCGGCUUAUCAGCUUGUUGGUGGGGUAGUGGCUUACCAAGGCUUUGACGGGUAGCCGGCCUGAGAGGGUGACCGGCCACAUUGGGACUGAGAUACGGCCCAGACUCCUACGGGAGGCAGCAGUGGGGAAUAUUGCACAAUGGGCAGAAGCCUGAUGCAGCAACGCCGCGUGCGGGAUGACGGCCUUCGGGUUGUAAACCGCUUUCGCCUGUGACGAAGCGUGAGUGGCGGUAAUGGGUAAAGAAGCACCGGCUAACUACGUG
rnacentral:rRNA from 1 species